GACGAACGCUGGCGGCGUGCUUAACACAUGCAAGUCGAACGGAAAGGCCCUGCUUUUGUUGGGUGCUCGAGUGGCGAACGGGUGAGUAACACGUGAGUAACCUGCCCUUGACUUUGGGAUAACUUCAGGAAACUGGGGCUCAUACCGGAUAGGAGCUCCUGCUGCAUGGUGGUGGUUGGAAAGUUUCGGCGGUUGGGGAUGGACUCGCGGCUUAUCAGCUUGUUGGUGGGGUAGUGGCUUACCAAGGCUUUGACGGGUAGCCGACCUGAUAGGGGAACCGGCCACACUGGAAGUGAGAGGGGGACCAGAGUCCAACGGAAGACAGAAGAAGGGAAUCGGCCGCAAGGGGCGAAAACGUGACGGAGCAACGCCGCGGGAGUGAUGAAGGUCGGCGGAGCGUAAAACUCUGGUAUGAGGGAAGAACAAAUGUGUAAGGAACUAAGCACGGCAUGACGGUACCUAAUCAGAAAGCCACAGCUAACUACGUG
rnacentral:rRNA from 1 species